UCACUAGCCCAAGCGAGACAGUCACCUUUACUAAUUUGAAUUUAGCUGCUUCAGACUGUACUGCAAAUGCAACUUUCUUCCAAACAAAAAAUGGUCUUGAGCCCUGUCUUUU